rnacentral:rRNA from 1 species
UUGACAGGAUCUGUCCCUAGUACGAGAGGACCGGGAUGGACGCACCUCUGGUGGACCUGUUGUCACGCCAGUGGCACAGCAGGGUAGCUAUGUGCGGAAAGGAUAACCGCUGAAGGCAUCUAAGCGGGAAGCCCCCCUCAAAACAAGGUAUCCCUGAGAGCCGAGAUAGACCAUCUCGUCGAUAGGCCAGAGAUGUAAGCGUGGUAACACGCUCA